UACGUAGGUGGCGAGCGUUGUCCGGAUUUACUGGGCGUAAAGGAUGCGUAGGUGGAAAUUUAAGUGGGAUGUGAAAUCCCCGGGCUCAACCCGGGAACUGCAUUCCAAACUGGAUUUCUUGAGUACAGGAGAGGAAAGCGGAAUUCCUAGUGUAGCGGUGAAAUGCGUAGAUAUUAGGAGGAACACCAGUGUCGAAGGCGGCUUUCUGGACAGUAACUGACGCUGAGGCGCGAAAGCGUGGGGAGCAAACAGGAUUAGAUACCCCCGUAGUCCCUGAGCGGG
rnacentral:rRNA from 1 species